UUAUAGCCCCGAUAGCAGCGGCAUCCUUUUUUAUUUUGGAUUGCUUUUUAGUGGUUUACCUAAGUAGUCAUGAAAAAUAAAAAAGAUAUAGCGAAUAGCGGGACGGUUG
rnacentral:sRNA from 1 species